GUUCAAGUAUUUUGUUCUUCUGUUUUAGAAAGUGGCAGCCAGGACUACACAAGCCUCAAGGAAGGCUGAAGCGAGCCUUGUAAUUGACUGUUCUUUACAAUCAUUACAAGUCACUGAACCUUCACCUAACUACCUUGAACACAUUUAUGCAUUGCCUCCAUCUCCCACUCUUCUCAAGACUAGACUCAAUGAAGCCCUGGUUAGGGUGGAGAGUCUUGAGAAAGAGAUGAGGAACUCAAAGGCCCGAGAGCAGAGUGUGAAGAAAACAGUGCGUUGUCUUCUGGAGGACCUCAGGGGGAAGAACCUCAUAAAUGAAGAGCUGCAAGAGAGGCUUGACUUAUACUCUCAGAUCUUCCAUUAGGCCUCCUGUCCAAACAGGGCCACGAGUACACUAAAGAGCAGAGGGAGUUUGCCCUCACUCUCCACCUGCACGGGCCCAAAGCCUACUCUUACCUGAGAGAGUCUCUCCACCUCCACCUACCACAUCCACAUACAUUGCAAAGGUAUUUGCCAUUACAUUUAAUUGCACUUUAUUGAUAGGAAA